rnacentral:rRNA from 1 species
AUUGAACGCUGGCGGCAGGCUUAACACAUGCAAGUCGAGCGGUAACAGGAGAAGCUUGCUUCUCGCUGACGAGCGGCGGACGGGUGAGUAAUACUUAGGAAUCUACCUAGUAGUGGGGGAUAGCUCGGGGAAACUCGAAUUAAUACCGCAUACGACCUACGGGAGAAAGGGGGCAACUUGUUUCUCACGCUAUUAGCUUAGCCUAAGUCGGAUUAGAUAGAUGGUGGGGUAAAGGCCUACCAUGGCGACGAUCUGUAGCUGGUCUGAGAGGAUGAUCAGCCACACCGGGACUGAGACACGGCCCGGACUCAUACGGGAGGCAGCAGUGGGGAAUAUUGGACAAUGGGGGCAACCCUGAUCCAGCCAUGCCGCGUGUGUGAAGAAGGCCUUUUGGUUGUAAAGCACUUUAAGCAGUGAAGAAGACUCUAGGGUUAAUACCCUUAGACGAUGACAUUAGCUGCAGAAUAAGCACCGGCUAACUCUGUGCCAGCCGCCGCGGUAA